rnacentral:lncRNA from 10 species
CCGCUGCCGGUUCUUGUAAAUGUCCUCACUUGGUUUCUGGGCAGCAACUUCCUUGACUUGCCUGGGGAGCGGAUCUGAGCUGCAUUUACCAGGCCAUGCCCAGGGGAAGUGAUCAGUGUGGGACCGUGAAGCUGGAUUUCCCCAGGAGCUCCCUCCAACCUUCUGGGAUGAUGAUAAGACUUGGGAUGAACCAAGGAUCUCGAACCAUGGGACAAUGUGAAGUCUAGACCUAGUGGAGGAAGAGAAAGGCUACGGGAAGGGCAGGCUUCACGUUACUGAGCAUCCGCUACCUGCCACACACUUUCACGUGGCCUUAUUCUGUGUGUUUCUCACAGCACCCUUGAGAAAUAGAGACUACGAUCACAUCUUUUACAUAAAAGAAAACCAGCAUCCAGGGAGGCGAAGUCCCUUGCUCACAGACUGUCAUGUGGGAAGCUCUCUGGAUGCAAUGAUGUCCUCCAGUUGCAGUACCAGGCAAGCUGUCCCAGAGUUCAUGGAGCGGAAAGGCUCGAGAAGCAACUGAGGAUGCUCGAAUCACAGUCAACCUCACCCACUCAGGUGUGACCACGAGGACCAGAGCCGAGGUCUGGGCAAGAGUGCUCACAGCUGAAGGGCUUAUGACACACACCGGCUCAACGGGACAGACAUGGGACAAGUGUGCCUGAUCAUGGUGGAGUUGCCAAGAAGCAGCUGUCGCACUGCCAUGGGUUCUACGUGUUUCUUGGGCAGAGGACGCAUGGGACCAGAAUGGGCACCAGGAAUGGUGGUGAACAAAGGCCCCAUGGUUCUGCAUGUUUAGGUGUCUCUUGUAUAAAGGCACAUUGUGAAUUGAACAUUUAGUGCCCAGGAGCCUCAUGCAUAUUAAGUAUCUCUUGGCCCUUGUGUCUCUUCCUUCCCACAUGUAACAUACCUGUUCUCUGUAACUAUCUAUUCUGAACGUAUCUAAAAACCAUGUCUUGCCUGUGUUAUACAAACCACAUGCAUACUCACAUUGUCUGAUGUAGCUGAAUGUUUCCUAAGGCCAGGGCACAUUUCAGGGUCACAUAGAGUGGAGAGAGG